rnacentral:misc_RNA from 1 species
GAAAUGCGAUAAUUAAUGUGAAUUGCAGAAUUCAGUGAAUCAUCGAGUCUUUGAACGCACAUUGCACCCCCUGGUAUUCCGGGGGGUAUGCCUGUCCGAGCGUCAUUGCUGCCCUCAAGCCCGGCUUGUGUGUUGGGUCCUCGUCCCCCCCCGGGGGACGGGCCCGAAAGGCAGCGGCGGCACCGCGUCCGGUCCUCGAGCGUAUGGGGCUUUGUCACACCGCUCUCGUAGGCCCGGCCGGCGCUGGCCGACGCUGAAAAGCAACCAUUAUUUCUCCAGGUUGACCUCGGAUCAGGUAGGGAUACCCGCUGAACUUCAGC